CUCCUGGAAACGGGUGGUAAUGCCGGAUGCUCCGCCCCCUCGCAUGGGGGGUCGGGAAGGCUUUUGCGGAAUGGGAUGGGGUCGCGUCCUAUCAGCUUGUUGGCGGGGCGACGGCCCACCAAGGCUUCGACGGGUAGCCGGCCUGAGAGGGCGACCGGCCACAUUGGGACUGAGAUACGGCCCAGACUCCUACGGGAGGCAGCAGUGGGGAAUAUUGCACAAUGGGGGGAACCCUGAUGCAGCGACGCCGCGUGCGGGAUGGAGGCCUUCGGGUCGUGAACCGCUUUUGAUUGGGAGCAAGCGUGAGUGAGUGUACCUUUCGAAUAAGCACCGGCUAACUACGUGCCAGCAGCCGCGGUAAUACGUAGGGUGCAAGCGUUGUCCGGAAUCAUUGGGCGUAAAGGGCUCGUAGGCGGCUCCCCCGCGUCCGGUGUGAAAGCCCAUCGCUUAACGGUGGGUCUGCGCCGGGUACGGGCGGUCUUGAGUGCGGCAGGAGAGGCUGAUAUUCCCGGUGUAACGGCGGAAUGUGUAUAUAUCGCGAAGAACACC
rnacentral:rRNA from 1 species